GCAGAAGGGCUGAUGUAGAGCUGACAGAUGUGCCGGAUUCCAUCUCUGUGGGGCUGAAAAGCUCUUUAGAACACAGCUUGUAUUUGAUCAUUUCUCCAUGAUAGAUGGAUUUAGAACAAAUCCCCUCAGACCAUCCAAGCGCUAGCACCAUUUUUCUAAAGAAAUUUCAAAAGGAUGUGAGAGGAAAGAAUAUGAAGAACAAUUCAUACCAUGU